rnacentral:sRNA from 1 species
UUCAAAGUUUUAUAGGGUUCCGCAGUUUUUUAAAAAACCGGUCCGGACCGAGAUAAAACGCACAGUGUAACUGUGUACACGAAGGAUAAAAGCCUGGGAGGU